UUUCCCCAUAUUUGGCAUAUGGCCAACCGAUAUGGGAUUUCCCCGCAUGGGAGAUACUGAGUAUAUGGGCUAUCAAUACCACAAAAGGUUUGAUUUCCCCAUAUUUGGCAUAUGGACCAACAAUAUGGGAUUUUCCCGUAUGGGAGAUACUCAGUUUAUGGGCUAUCAAUACCACUAAAAGUUAUAGGAUUUCCCCAUAUUUGGCAUAUGGACCACCAAUAUGGGAUUUCCCCAUAUGGAAGAUAAUCAGUAUAUGGGCUAUCAAUCACGAGCUGCCCCAUGGAUUUGAAUCAUGGGUCCAUUGGUCACUUGUACAAACAGAACCUAAGCAUGCCAUAGAUUUUCUCAAGCUGAGCAUUGUUUAAUGCCUCUUUUAUGUUGCACGGAUUGUUAUCCCAUUUUAUACAAGAAUUUGACUUAGAAUGAGUGGAACGAUUUGAUCACGAUCCAUGAGUAUGGAUGAAUUUAUGCAAGAGAGUAUAAAUCAUUGGCAUUCAUAGAUCCAAUUGGUAGAAUUUGAAUGUUUCUUUGAUUUGCAAGUUUACUCGUGAUGGGAUUCUGGUGGAAGUUCCAUUCUGGAAGGAUGUUAGCAAACUGAUUGAUGAUUAUAGUGGAGAUUCUCGAAAGAAUAAAUGAACUCAAAUAGGAUGAAUAGAUAUGACAUGACAGGUCUAUGUGACCUUAUGAACAGGUUAGAUGGCAAUUAACCAUCACGGUGGGCCCUGGGAAGGUUUCAACGGUGGGUCUCAUUAUCACUGCUUCUUCCUGUGGUGUGGUCUACUUGACCCUUGGAUCUGCCUCAUUUUUGGGCUUGCAGCCUAAAUGAUAUGGCAAAAUGGAUGGACUAUGGAUAAAACCCAUACAUCAUGGUGGCCCAGGUCAAGAUAAGAUUGCUGAUUUUGAGAUGAAGCUCAUGGACAUUGACAAUGAGCAUCUUGGAAUUCCAGAAGCAGAGCAUCAUGCCAUUGUAAAUAUGCCAUCAGGUGGUCAUGGAAAACAGGACCAUGAUUUUUCAGGCUCAUCUGAGUCUUAAAAUGGUUUUUUACUGUCGCAUUUUGAACUUUUUGACAUUAAUUUUUGGUUGAUUUUCUUGUUGAUUUGCUUUCUGAUAUCUAUGAUGAUUUUUUGUGGAUUUACAUAUGCUUGACGGCCAUAAAAACCAUGGUGAAGUUGGAUAAAGAACUGGUAGAACCAGGUGAUGGGUCUUGCCUCUGCGGCAAUGCAAUGGUGUAGGUGAUGUGUGGGUGUUGCAAUGUCAAUGCAGUGGAUGGGGUCUGGCCUUGGCGAAGUUGUUAUUAUUAUUAUUUUUAUUUAACGUGUUCUUGUAAGUGAUUUAAUCCAUGAAAUGAAGUGGGUUGAUGGGCAUGCAUUACGCCACAUGAACGGCCGUGGAAUGGAAUAAGGCCAUUUCUCA